rnacentral:rRNA from 1 species
AUACGUAGGGGGCGAGCGUUGUCCGGAAUGAUUGGGCGUAAAGGGCGCGUAGGCGGCCCGGUAAGUCUGGAGUGAAAGUCCUGUUUUUAAGAUGGGAAUUGCUUUGGAUACUGUCGGGCUUGAGUGCAGGAGAGGUAAGUGGAAUUCCCAGUGUAGCGGUGAAAUGCGUAGAGAUUGGGAGGAACACCAGUGGCGAAGGCGACUUACUGGAAUGUACAUGACGCUGAGGCGCGAAUGUGUGGGGAGCAUACUGGAUUAAAUACCCUGGUAGUCCGCGCUGUACACAAGGAAUGCAAGGUGUAGGGGGUAUAGACCCCUUCUGUGCCGCAGGCAACGCAAUAAGCGUUCCGCCUGGGGAGUAUGGCCGCAAGGCUGAAGCUCAAAGGAAUUGACGGAG